CCUACGGGAGGCAGCAGUGGGGGAUCUUUCACAAUGGGGGGAACCCUGAUGCAGCGACGCCGCGUGGGUGAUGGAGGGCUUCGGCGUGUAAACUGCUUUUGUAAGCGAGGAAUAUGAUGGUAACUUAUGAAUAAGGAUCGGCUAACUACGUGCCAGCAGCCGCGGUCAUACGUAGGGUCCGAGCAUUAUCCGGAUUGACUGGGUGUAAAGAGUGGCGUAGGUGGCAUGAUAAGUAGCUAGUGAAAGCUGGUGGCUCAACCAUUCAGACUAUUAGUUAAACUGUUUAGCUCGAGACCGGGAGGGGUAACUGGAAUUGCUAGUGUAGGAGUGAAAUACGUAGAUAUUAGAAAGAACACCAAUAGCGUAGGCAGGCUACUGGGACGGUUCUGACGCUAAGGCACGAAAGCGUAGGGAGCAAACGGGAUUAGAUACCCGAGUAGUC
rnacentral:rRNA from 1 species